GGGAAUCGAAUUUUUCAAGUUCAGCCUUGGGGAAAAGUGAAUGACUUAGGAGGGAGGAAUUGUUACGUACGUCAUGUUUUGUAUCUUUAUUUUUAUUGUCUUAAUAUUUCCUAGAACUCACUGGAUAUAUGCUUACCCGACAAGACGCAAGAGGUACACAUUUAAACCCCAUCCCUCACACCCCAAGUAAAAGAAAGAGCUCCCUACUGCAUCAUUCUAUGUACCCGGGGGGAUUAAAUGUGUACAUUUGAAGUUGCUCAUGUUUCUUUGCUGUGUAUAGAUUUUUGUAUGGGGUUUAAACCCCAUUCCAACAACAACAAAAAUCAACAUCAAAACUAAUUUCCUACCU
rnacentral:lncRNA from 1 species